rnacentral:tRNA from 1 species
UGGGUUGUGGCUCAUUGGUAGAGCGCUUGCCUAGCAUGUGUGAGGCACUGGGUUCGAUUCUCAGCACUGCAU